CCUACGGGAGGCAGCAGUGAGGAAUAUUGGUCAAUGGACGAGAGUCUGAACCAGCCAAGUAGCGUGAAGGAUGACUGCCCUAUGGGUUGUAAACUUCUUUUAUAUGGGAAUAAAAUGUUCCACGUGUGGGAUUUUGUAUGUACCAUAUGAAUAAGGAUCGGCUAACUCCGUGCCAGCAGCCGCGGUAAUACGGAGGAUCCGAGCGUUAUCCGGAUUUAUUGGGUUUAAAGGGAGAGUAGGUGGAUUGUUAAGUCAGUUGUGAAAGUUUGCGGCUCAACCGUAAAAUUGCAGUUGAAACUGGCAGUCUUGAGUACAGUAGAGGUGGGCGGAAGUCGUGGUGUAGCGGUGAAAUGCUUAGAUAUCACGAAGAACUCCGAUUGCGAAGGCAGUUCACUGGACUGCAACUGACACUGAGGCUCGAAAGUGUGGGUAUCAAACAGGAUUAGAUACCCGUGUAGUC
rnacentral:rRNA from 1 species